rnacentral:tRNA from 2 species
UGGAUUAUAUUUAAAUAUAAUAUUUGAUUUGCACUCAAAAGGUGUUCAAAGAACUAAUCUUA